UAAGUUUUAGUUUAAAGAAAAUAUUUUAUUUACAAUAAAAAGAUUUUAUUAAUUUAAAAAAAUUAA
rnacentral:tRNA from 1 species